AUGGAGGCGGCGAUUGGCGCGGCACGUGGGCUCGUCGGCAGGGAGGCCCAGCGUAGAGGCGUGAUCAACAACCCUAGUUUGGAGGAGCUACUGCACAAGCUCCACACCAAGGUCGGCAAGGCGGAGGACGCGCUGGACGAGCUUCACUACUUCAUCAUCCAGGACCAGCUCGACGGCACUCAGUAUGCUGUGCCGGAUCUGGGCAAUACCCUCUGGGGUCAUGCUCGCCACAUCCGUCAUGCCAUUCACCAUACCAUCGGUAACUUCAUCCUUCCAUUCUUUUCUUGUUGGCUGCUGCAAGAUGAUGAUCAUGGUGCUGCUGCUAUGAAUGAUCCUCACAAUACAGCCAACCCUGGUAGUGGUAAUGAUGGUUCAGUUACUAAGUUGUCAUUCGAUAGAGUGGCCAUGUCCAAGAAAAUCAAACAAGCAAUAGAGGAAAUGCACUCCCUGUGUGACCAAUUCUUGGAGUUGCUCAAAAUAAUCCCAGACCAUAGCACCAGUACUACAAUUGUCAACCUAAAACGACCUCUCACAGGAUCAAUCACUGCACAAGAAAAUUUGUAUGGGAGGAGAGACCUGUUUGAGCAGACCAUAAAAGAUCUCAUCACCAAUUGCACAAAUAGCAAUAAAACUCUUUCAGUUAUGCCUAUAGUUGGUCCAGGGGGUAUUGGAAAAACAACUUUUGCUCAACACUUGUAUAAGCAUGAAAGGGUAGAAGAGCACUUCCCUGUCAGGGCUUGGAUAUGUGUCUCAACUGAUUUUGAUGUGCUCAAGCUCAGUCAGCAGAUCCUUAGCCAAAUAGAAGAAAAAAACAGCGCAUAUAAAAUAUCAAGUUUAAACCAGCUCCAGAAAUCCAUUGAAAAGAGGAUCAAGUCUAAAAGGAUUUUAAUUGUCUUUGAUGAUAUAUGGGAAUGCACUACUCAGGACUGGGAAACCCUGCUAGCUCCUUUGGGAAAGGGCGAAACCACAGGUAACAUGGUUCUCGUCACAACUCGGUUCCCGUCUAAAGUUGAUGAUGUGAAAACAACCAACCCCAUUCCGCUGAAAGGCCUUGAGCCGAAUGGUUUUUUUAAAUUCUUUGAAGCAUUAAUAUUUGAAGGAGAAAAACCUGAGAAUUACAAUGAUGAAUUAACUGAUCUUGCAAAGGAUAUUGCCAAGAAAUUGAAGGGUUCACCUCUAGCAGCCAAAACAGUUGGUCGGCUAUUGAAGAAUGACCUACGUAAGGAACAUUGGAUGGCAGUUCUCGAAGAUAAUGAAUGGCAAAAACAAAAAAAUAAUGAUGAUAUUAUGCCAUCUUUAAAGAUUAGCUAUGAUUACCUUCCUUUCCAACUGAAAAAAUGUUUCUCGUGUUUUUCCCUAUUUCCCGAAGACCAUAGGUUUAGCAAUCUAGAGAUUACAUGUUUUUGGAGUGCAUUAGGGAUCAUUGAAAAAGAUGAAAAUUACAUGGAAGAACUUUCGAAAAAUGGUUUUCUCGUGAAGGAGAAUGAUCGUUGGUCAAAUCAACAGUACUAUGUGCUGCAUGAUUUAUUGCAUGAACUAGCUCAGAGUGUCUCGUCACAAGAAUGCCUAAAUAUAUAUAGCAAUGCAAGUUUUAGAGCUAAUGAUGUCCCAAAAUCCAUUCGUCAUUUGUCCAUCACCAUGAAAGACAAAUACGUUGAGACUUUUAGGACAGAAAUGAUUAAAUUAAAGAGCAAGGUAGACAUUGCAAAUUUGCGUGCUCUAAUGAUUUUUAGAAAAUAUGAGGAACAAAUUGAUGAGGUUAUAGAAGACACAUUCAAGGAAAUGGAGGCUCUUCGUGUUCUUUUUAUCGAAGUCAACUCCCCAGAAUCUUUACCACAUUACUUUCCAAAACUUAUCCACCUAUGA
rnacentral:rRNA from 1 species